GCGCGGGUGGUGGAAUGGCAGACACGCUACUUUGAGGGGGUAGUGGGGCAACCUGUGAGGGUUCAACUCCCUCCCCGCGCA
rnacentral:tRNA from 1 species